GGUAAUCUCUACUGCUUGAGUGUAGUUAUGGUGAAAAAAAACCUACCACCACCACAAAAACCCAACCUUUCCCCUCUUUCCAGUCGGAACAUUUAUUCCACCUCUCAUCUUUUGUCUUUGUCCUUUCAAUAUAUACCACUCUGAUGGGCCUGUGUCUGUCUCUCUAACAACUUCCUCACAGAUCCUGAUAAGCUCCAGAUGUGUCUCACUGAAGACUUCUUUCCUCUAGGCUGAGCACACCCAGUCUCCUCACAGGAUAUGCAACCCAGAUCACCAAAUAUCUUGGCAAGAAAUUGAAUAGUGCCUGAUGACAUGGAAAACUACACGAGGCAGGGCGAAAAAAAUCCCUACAGUGCAAAUUCUUGCUAACAACAGACUCAAAGCAAAGAACAAGCUGCCACUAAGAGCUUAUCUGCAGAAAGACCUCCACAAGCAAAAUCCAGCCAUACCUCAUGUCAGAAACAACAAGAAACACAACUGGAUAAUUUAUGGCCAAUCUUCACAAGAGAUGUCAUGAUGAAUAGAACUGACAUGGUGAAAAGAGAUACUUCUGCAAAUGUUAGGAGUCAGAAAAUAAAAAAGUAGCUUAUUUUCAUAUCAGAGAGAAAAGCCAUGAGGCAGGGCAACUACUUGGUAAUGUAGAUAAAAUAUAUAUAAAGAAUUCAAAAAAGUGUU